AUGAACGCUGGCGGCGUGCCUCAUACAUGCAAGUCGAGCGCACAGACGAGGAGCUUGCUCCUCUGACGUUAGCGGCGGACGGGUGAGUAACACGUGGAUAACCUACCUAUAAGACUGGGAUAACUUCGGGAAACCGGAGCUAAUACCGGAUAAUAUAUUGAACCGCAUGGUUCAAUAGUGAAAGACGGUUUUGCUGUCACUUAUAGAUGGAUCCGCGCCGCAUUAGCUAGUUGGUAAGGUAACGGCUUACCAAGGCAACGAUGCGUAGCCGACCUGAGAGGGUGAUCGGCCACACUGGAACUGAGACACGGUCCAGACUCCUACGGGAGGCAGCAGUAGGGAAUCUUCCGCAAUGGGCGAAAGCUUGACGGAGCAACGCCGCGUGAGUGAUGAAGGUCUUCGGAUCGUAAAACUCUGUUAUUAGGGAAGAACAAAUGUGUAAGUAACUAUGCACGUCUUGACGGUACCUAAUCAGAAAGCCACGGCUAACUACGUG
rnacentral:rRNA from 1 species